GUCUCUUUGGCGCAAUCAGGUAGCGCGUUCGGCUGUUAACCGAAAGGUUCGUGAUUCGAGUCCACGCAGGGACG
rnacentral:tRNA from 1 species